UACGGAGGGAGCUAGCGUUGUUCGGAAUUACUGGGCGUAAAGCGCACGUAGGCGGCUACUCAAGUCAGAGGUGAAAGCCCAGGGCUCAACCUUGGAACUGCCUUUGAAACUAGGUAGCUAGAAUUCUGGAGAGGUCAGUGGAAUUCCGAGUGUAGAGGUGAAAUUCGUAGAUAUUCGCAAGAACACCAGUGGCGAAGGCGGCUCACUGGCCCGGUACUGACGCUGAGGUGCGAAAGCGUGGGGAGCAAACAGG
rnacentral:rRNA from 1 species